UACGUAGGGCGCAAGCGUUGUCCGGAAUUAUUGGGCGUAAAGAGCUCGUAGGCGGUCUGUCGCGUCUGUUGUGAAAACUCGAGGCUCAACCUCGGGCUUGCAGUGGAUACGGGCAGACUAGAGUGCGGUAGGGGAGACUGGAAUUCCUGGUGUAGCGGUGGAAUGCGCAGAUAUCAGGAGGAACACCCGUGGCGAAGGCGGUUCUCUGGGACGGUACUGACGCUGAGACGCGAAAGCGUGGGGAGCGAACAGG
rnacentral:rRNA from 1 species